UCUGGUGGCGAUGCGCUUGGGGGUAACACCCGUUCCCAUCCCGAACACGAUGGUUAAGACCCAAGUGGCCGAUGGUACUGCACUGGAGACGGUGUGGGAGAGUAGGUGGCUGCCAGAG
rnacentral:rRNA from 1 species